rnacentral:rRNA from 1 species
AUUGAACGCUGGCGGCAGGCCUAACACAUGCAAGUCGAACGGUAGCAGGAAGAAGCUUGCUUCUUUGCUGACGAGUGGCGGACGGGUGAGUAAUGUCUGGGAAACUGCCUGAUGGAGGGGGAUAACUACUGGAAACGGUAGCUAAUACCGCAUAACUUCGCAAGACCAAAGAGGGGGACCUUCGUGCCUCUUGCCAUCGGAUGUGCCCAGAUGGGAUUAGCUAGUAGGUGGGGUAACGGCUCACCUAGGCGACGAUCCCUAGCUGGUCUGAGAGGAUGACCGGCCACACUGGAACUGAGACACGGUCCAGACUCCUACGGGAGGCAGCAGUGGGGAAUAUUGCACAAUGGGCGCAAGCCUGAUGCAGCCAUGCCGCGUGUAUGAAGAAGGCCUUCGGGUUGUAAAGUACUUUCAGCGGGGAGGAAGGGAGUAAAGUUAAUACCUUGGCUCAUUGACGUUACCCGCAGAAGAAGCACCGGCUAACUCCGUG